UGGGGAAUAUUGGACAAUGGGGGCAACCCUGAUCCAGCAAUGCCGCGUGGGUGAAGACGGCCUUCGGGUUGUAAAGCCCUUUAGGUAGGGAAGAAUGUUAUAGGGUGAAUACCCCUAUAAUUUGACGGUACCUACAGAAUAAGCACCGGCUAAUUCUGUGCCAGCAGCCGCGGUAAUACAGAAGGUGCGAGCGUUAAUCGGAUUUACUGGGCGUAAAGGGCGCGUAGGUGGUAAAGCAAGUAAGAUGUGAAAGCCCCAGGCUUAACCUGGGAAGUGCAUCUUAAACUGCUUAACUAGAGUAUGUUAGAGGGUAGUGGAAUUUCCGGUGUAGCGGUGAAAUGCGUAGAUAUCGGAAGGAACGCCAGUGGUGAAGACGACUACCUGGAACAAUACUGACACUGAGGCGCGAAAGCGUGGGGAUCAAACAGGAUUAGAUACCCCGGUAGUCC
rnacentral:rRNA from 1 species